rnacentral:rRNA from 1 species
UACGGGGGGGGCAAGCGUUGUUCGGAAUUACUGGGCGUAAAGGGCUCGUAGGCGGCCAACUAAGUCAGACGUGAAAUCCCUCGGCUUAACCGGGGAACUGCGUCUGAUACUGGAUGGCUUGAGUUUGGGAGAGGGAUGCGGAAUUCCAGGUGUAGCGGUGAAAUGCGUAGAUAUCUGGAGGAACACCGGUGGCGAAGGCGGCAUCCUGGACCAACACUGACGCUGAGACGCGAAAGCGUGGGGAGCGAACGAGGA